UAUGCGGUUCGAGUGUUCACAAAACACCGGUUGACCUUGAAAAUGACAUGGGACGAUGAUGGGUAAAAAACAAUCUCGUCGAAUAACAUUUCUCAAUUAUCAACGAGUUUAAGCCGUUGACACUGCAUUGCAUGGGAAGAAAAGGUGAUAUUAGAACAGUGUUCAGAUGGAUCUAUUCAGUGUCAUAACUGUAAAAAAAUGGUCGCAUCGUCAGUGCUAUGACAUGUCGGACACAGACCUAAAAUCAUGGUCUCCAUCGUACCUUAAGUUUGUGUGUCAAAAGUGUGGAUUUCGUAAUGGAAAGUACGACGUCGAAGCUGCACUCAAGAGCAGUCAUGUGCAAUAGGUGCGUAUCUAAAAUUCUUGUCAAGAGAGUCUACAGACAGUUGGUGCCCUGGAGAUUGGAGACUCCCAUCAUAUGCUGUCACUAAAUGGAGCGCAGUAAAUUUUGCGACCUACACAUUUUCCAAC